ensembl:lncRNA
CUACUACAUACUCGAACUAGUCCCCCCUUGAGGGAGCAUCAGCUGGAAGGCCAGUUGGAUGAAAAAUGCAUAUUUGCCCAGGCUGGUAAAACAAGAUGCUCAGAGGGGCAAGAAGAUGAAAGUUCUGUGUCUGCAUCUGAUGCUGAAGAGUAACUCCUGGUGGUGACCUGAGGUGUGGCAGCCUCUCCAGGGAGGGAGGCUAUGUGCCCUGCUUAAAAAACAAACAAAACUCCCACAGCCUUUCUCAGUCUUCCUUGGAGAGAGUGGUCCCAUGACAUUCUGGCCAAUGGAAGCAACAGGCCCAAAGGCCACUGCCUGGUGCAGAAAUGCUGUUUCUUUCCUCUCAAGCAAGGAGCAGCUCUUUUGGAUAUGAGCCCAUCCUGAGUGGACAUCCUUAUUCAUCAUGGAGACCAGAAACAGCCUGAGCCUGGAUCCGCAGCAGGCACUGUUUUGCCCAAAGUUCUGACUCUAUUUCCAGACCACGGCACGUGGCUAUCACAGAAUCUCAGAAAGCCAUGUUGAUCAGCACAAGAGGCGGGGCUCAGAGGGAGACCAUUCUGAAAUUCCUGAGGAUGAACUAAGCCUGGGUAUCAUUUUUUUUUUUUUCUUUUUGGCUGGAAGCAGAGGUCAGAAAAGUAAACUUUGAGGGGCAAAGGGGUUACAACCCCAGAGCAUUUAAACCACCUGAUGCCCCAGGCAACUGCACACCUAUUGGUACAGAGGUUAGAGUAUCAGUUACUGGCAGAAACCCUUCUUGCAAAACACUCUGUAUGUGAGAACCUGAGUAAAGCAAACAACCCCCCAC